rnacentral:ncRNA from 1 species
UUAAAAAUUGUGAUAAGGAAGAGUAUAUUUAGUAAGCUUUUCAGAGAGUUGGAUAUGCGGUGGGAGUCCAGUAAGUAAACUUUAUAGAAGCAGCCUUUGAAUUUCACAUUGAAAAAUAAGAAUUAAUAUUCUUAAUUAGAUGAUGACGUGUUCCUUACGUUAUAGAGGUUGAAGUGUUUAUAACACUUCUAUGGAGUGAGUAGUUAUACUUAUUAGGGUGGUACCGCGUAGUUUAUCCUUCGUCCCUUGU